rnacentral:rRNA from 1 species
UACGGAGGGUGCAAGCGUUGUCCGGAUUUAUUGGGUUUAAAGGGUGCGUAGGCGGCCCGUUAAGUCAGUGGUGAAAGCCUCCAGCUCAACUGGAGAACUGCCAUUGAUACUGACGGGCUAGAGUCCGGAAGAGGCGAGUGGAAUUCCCCGGUGUAGCGGUGAAAUGCGCAGAUAUCGGGAGGAACACCAAUGGCGAAGGCAGCUCGCUGGGACGGUACUGACGCUGAGACGCGAAAGCGUGGGGAGCAAACAGG